rnacentral:sRNA from 20 species
GUCAAGAACUCGCCGCUAAACCCUAUGCGCUUUUCGCGCAGCAGGCUUCGCCAACGGGUUAAGCGCGGGAGCUUGUAAAAAGGCUCUAACUUGACCAGACUCAGCCCUUUUUGGGGCUACGUUAUUUGGCUCACGAAACCCAUGAAUGCGUGCCAGUUUGCGGCUCUUUC